UUCAAGCACUAGUUAAUACAAUUGUGACCCACGGCUGGAGGAGGUAAAAACAACCUGGUUACUAAUUUAUAAGAAUUUAGCGUGUUCCUUCAAAACGUGCGGCUUGCGUCUCACUUAAUUCAUAUAUGGGCAGUUCGAACGGUUCCGCGCAGCACGAACUGCGUGUAAAUAUUCAUCCUGCAUUUCCAAACGAAAUGACAACGUAAAGGAAUAAGAUGGCAUCUACAUUCGUGUUGCCAGAUCAUGCUCACGCCUUAUACGCUAUAGAUACAGUCGCUCGCUCUGCUAGAAACAUUGCCUGAGAUGUACCCGACAAUUUCAGUCAUUGUUUCUGGUGGUGUAAGUCGCUGGCCUCUGCGGACGGAACACUACUGGGAAACACACAGCCUUCCGCGUGAAGCGGGACGAAACUGUAAGCAGAGGUGAAGAUUUCGGGUACAGAGAGUACAAAUCCAGACCAGGAUUUAGUUUCAACCAACCAGUUGAGUACUCUGUCACUGACUCUUUAUUCUCAACUGGUUGGUUGAAACUAAAUCCUGGUCUGGAUUUGUACUCUCUGGACCUGAAACCUUCACCUCUGACUGGCAGAUCUCUUAUCCGAUCAACAGCGGGGUUUUCCUAGAGCAGACUGGUUAAGCCCUUAAUUUAGUGAUUACUAGCUAACCCGUUGGGAUCCGGCGACUUGUGUUAGUGGCGCUUUCCCCAUGCAGCACAUGUUCUCGUUUGCGCAAUGGGCGUAGUGCUUCAUGUACUUGUUAAAAUGUCUUGAUAUUUAAGCACGGGGUGUAAAAUCCCGACCUGCCUUUAACUGCUGUACCUGACACACCGUGACUGUCCUGAAUUUAACUUUGUCCAGUGGUUUUCCUUGAGCACUUUAUUUAAUAGAGUUUAUCGGGGGUAGGACAGUAGAAUAUCGAUGCAUUCCUAUUCCACAUAGGCUUGGCUGAAACCAAAGUCUCUGGCAUGUAGCUGAGCAGGCUUCACCCGUACGGCCGUUCUGCCUCAAGCAGGCUCCGACGAUUGCUUUAAACAAAAUAUAACUUCCCCACUGUUUAUUUCUCCUAAAGAGGACCUCUUCAUUGAUUUAGUAAAAGGGCUACAGAAUUAGCUGACUUUUAUUAAACCAGAACCUUAGCCAGAAGUGAAUUUCGAUGGGGGCCAAAUCAUAAAGAAAUCCGCAUGAUCUUGAGACAAAAUUUGCCAUGAUUUAAGUAACAUAAAAUAUAAUGACCAACUUGUUUAAGUAGCACAGUAAUGACCCGUGUAUACAUUGUUUUUCGAGAGCAACGAUCUUUUAAAUAUAUUAGUGUAACACUUAAAGGAAAAGCAGUCUACACUUGGAAUGAAAAAUUCAGGAGUGGUAUAUCUCAAUAUAUGUGGCAAUAAAAAGAAGGCAGGAGUUAGUCAAGAGUUCAACACGACCGCAAAUUUACUGCUAAAUCAGGCUUUCAGAUCAGUGCAGCCGAUUUGUCUGUAUUCAGUUUUUUUUUUUAAUUUACUUUUAAUUUAACAGCUUCAUGUAGUACAUCACAGGAUGGCUAAAGUUUUAAAAUAAUGUCACCAGUGUUGAAACACCAUCUUGUUUAUACAUUUAUAGCAGAUAUGAAUACUGUGAAUGUAAUUUGUUAUAUCUGGUUAAAGACUGUAAAAGGCUGAAGGAAACACGGUGGGGUUUGACCCCCACUCCCGCUGGGUUUGUGCUGGGUUUUGCAGGUUUUUCCUGUUGUCAUACGGGUUUGUUUCAGUCACUCCCAUAGUGUAAAGGCUCACAGUAAAACAUGGUAGUUGGCGUUUCUGAAUUGAUCAUGCAUGUGUGUGUGUGUGCCCUGCAAUGGAUUGCCCCCCCUCCCCCCAAUUUAGGGUACACCCCAGUCUUGUGCUCCAUAUUGCCUGGGAGAGCUUCCCCCCCAUGACCGGGAAGAUACUGGUUUAAUACCCAAGUGGCAUCAGUUGUCAGAAAGUUAAAAAUCACUACACCAAUCUGUAGGUAAUGUUAAAUAGAACAACUAGUAAACUUCCUGAAAAAUUUGAGCAGUAAGCAAAAUAAGCUUUUUUUUUUUAACAUAUAUAUUGUAAGUAUAAGUAGUAGAGAAGCUACAAUAUUCUUGAUCGAUCAUUUCAAUACAGGUUGUUAGCAAAUUGUGAUCCGGGGGGGGCUUUCAGCAAAAACCACUUAGAGUGCUAAGGAAGUAACUGAAGGCAGUAGGCAGGUGAUCCCUGUCCUGUCGUGUCCCUCCCCAUCCCUGCCUCCGACUUUCCACACUACAGGAGGUCGCCCUCUGUAUGACUCUCACAGUAACUUGCUGGGGGGGGGGGUCUUCUUGGGUAGAAAGGGGAAUAAGGAACUAUCCUCAGUUUGUAUCCAUGCCUGUCUUGUAACUGUAUUACAUUAUAUUGUUUGGCUGUUCAAUAAACUUCUGCUGAAACGAGA